UGUUGGAGUCCAUUAUUAAGGAUGAGGUUUUAGGAUACGUGGAGACUAAUGAUAAAUUAAGUCAAAGCCGGCAUGAUUUCUGUAAAGGGAAAUCUUGCCUGACAAAUCUGUUAGAAUUCUUCAAGGAAGCAACAAACGGUGGACAAAGGAGAGGCAGUGGAUAUCAUUUACUUAGAUUUUCAGAAGGCAUUUGAAACGGUGUCUCACAUGAGGCUGCUUAACAAGGUAAAAUCCUAUGGUGUAACUGGAAAGAUACUGGCAUGGAUAGAGGAAUGGCUGAUGGGCAGGAGGCAGCGAGUGGGAGUAAAAGGGGCCUUUUCAGGUUGGCUGCCAGUGACUAGUGGUGUUCCUCAGGGGCAAGUAUUGGGACUGCUACUUUUCAUAUUGUCCGUCAGUAAUUUGGGUAGUGGAAUUGAUGGCUUUGUGGAAAAGUUUGUAGAUGAUACAAGGAUAGGUGGAGUUGUAGAUAGUGCUGAGGAAGCAAUGCAAUUGCAGCAGGACUUGGACAAAUUAGAAGAAUGGGUAAAAAAGUGGCAGAUGGCAUACAGUUUCAGGGAAUGUAUGAUAAUGCAUUUUGGUAACAGGAACAAUAGUGCAGACUAUUAUCUAAAUGGGGAGAAAAUUCAAACAUCAGAGGGACUGAGGAGUUCUUAGGCAAGGCUCCCAGAAGGUUAAUUCACAGGUUGUGUCUGUGAUAAGGUGAAUACAAUGUUGGCAUUUAUUUCCAGGGGAACAGAAUAUAAAAAUGUGGAAUAAUGCUGAAGCUUUAUAAGACACUAUCAGGCCACACUUGAAAUAUUGUCAGCAGUUUUUGGGUCCCAUAUCUCUGAAAGGAUGUGUUGUCAUUUGGAGAGUGUCCUGAGGAGGUUCAUGAGGAUGAUUCUGGGAAUGAAGGGGUUAACAUAUGAGGAAUGUCUGUUAGUUUGGGGCCUGUACUCACUGGAAUUUAGAAGGAUGUGUGGGGAUCUCAUUGAAACUUACCGAAUGUUGAAAGGAGCUGAUAGGGUGGAUGUGGAGAGGGUGUUUCCUAUGGUGGAGGUAUCCAGAACUGGAGGACACUGUCUCAAAAUUGAGGGGCAACCCUUUAGAACAGGAGUAAGGAGGAAUUUUUUUUUAAGGCAGAGAGUAGUGAAUCUGUGGAAUGUUCUGCUACAGACUGUGGUGGAGGCCAAGUCCGUGGGUGUAAUUAAAGUGGAAGUUGAUAGAUUCCUGAUUAGUUGGGGCAUUAAGGGAUAUGGUGAGAGGGCAAGUAUAUGGGGUUGAAUGGUAUCUGGGGUCAGUCAUGAUGAAAGGGUAGAUCAGACUGGAUGGGCUGAAUGGACUAAUUCUGCUCCUAUGUCUUUUGGCUCCACACACGAGUUACCAUUCUGAAAUUUCUGAGGACCUGCUUUGUCCUUUGCAAUACUCUUACAUAUCUGUAGAAUCCCUUGGGAUUCUUCUUCACCUUGUCUUCUAGCGUAAUUUCAUGCCUUCUUCUUGCCCUCUUGAUUUUUUUCUUAAGUGUUAAAAACAUAAAAAACCUACAGCACAAUGCAGAGCCUUCGGCCUACAACGCUGUGCCAAACAUGUACUUACUUUAGAAAUUACCUACAGUUAUCCAUAGCCCUCUAUUUUUCUAAGCUCUGUGUUAAAAGACCCUAUCGUAUCUGCCUCCACCACCAUUGCCAGCAGCCCAUUCCAUGCACUCACCACUCUCUGCGUAAAAAAAAAAAAAAAAAACAACAACAAUAACUUACCACUGACAUCUUCUCUGUACAUACUUCCAUACACCUUAAAAUUUUACCCUCUCGUGUGAGCCAUUUCAGCCCUAGGAAAACUGACUGUCCACACCAUUCUCUUGUGUUUCUUCUACUCCAUAAGUAUCUCAUUUGUUCCUACCUGCCUAUAUCUGCUAGGCACUUCUUAAUUAGGGCCUAAAUAUUUCUUAGAAACCAAGAUCCCCUAAAUCUGUGAUCUUUACCUUUUAUUCUGAUAGGCAAUACAAGCUUUGUACUCUCAAAAUUUCAUUUUUUGAAGGCCUCCAACUUACCAAGUACACCUUUGCCAAAAAAACAGCCUGUCCCAAUCCACGCUUGCCAGAUCCAUUAUGAUGCCAUCAAAAUUGACCUUUCUCCAAUUUAGAAUUCCAACCCGCAGACCAGACCUAUCUUUUUACAUAGUUACUUUGAAACUAAUGAUCACUAGAUGCAGUGUUCCCCAACACAUUCUUCCGUGCAGUAGCAGUUCAAGUAUCACACCAUCUCUGUCUAGGACUUCUAUGUACCGAUUAAGGAAACUUUCCUGGACAUAUUUAACUAUCUAGCUCAUCUAAUCCUUUUACUGUAUGUCCAAUACCAUUUGAACCUGGAUGAGUAUGCUGCAGUUGUUACUGAUUUCAUUAAAACCUGUGUGGAUGAGUGUGUGCCCACUAACACUUACUGUACAUUCCCAAACCAAAAACCGUGAAUGAACCAGGAGGUGCGUCAUCUGCUGAAGGCUAGAUCUAUGGCAUUCAAGACCUGAACCAGAAAACCAACUAUGAUUUGCAGAGGGCUAUUUCAAGGGUGAAGACAUAACUUUGAAUAAGGUUGGAGGCGACGUCGGAUGUACUGCAACUCUUGUAAAGUCUGCAAGACAUUUGUUGGAAGACAUUACUUCCAACAAAGUGAAACCCAAUAGCAUAAAUGGCAGCAAUGCUUCACUACCAGAUGAACUCAAUGCCUUCUAUGCCUGCUUUGAAAGGGAGAACACAACUACAGCUGUGAUGACCCCUAUGUUCUCUGUCUCAGAGGCCAAUGUUAGGUUGUCUUUAAAGAGAGUGAACCCUCAGAAGGCAGAAGGUCCCAAUGGAGUACCUGGUAAGGCUCUGAAAUCCUGUGCCAACCAACUAGCGGGAGUAUUUAAGACAUUUUCAACCUCUCAUUGCUAUGUGCGGAAGUUCCCACUUGCUUCAAAAAGGCAACAAUUAUACCAGUACCUAACAAGAAUAAUACGGACUGCCUUAAUGACUAUCGCCCAGUAGCAUUCACAUCAACAGUGAUAAAAUGCUUUGAGAGGUUGGUCAUGACUAGACUGAACUCCUGCCUCAACAAGGACCUGAACCCAUUGCAAUCUGCCUAUUGCCACAGUACUGUAGGUCAAUGGCAGACGCAAUCUCAAUGGCUCUCCACGUGGCUUUAGACCACCUGGACAACACAAACGCCUACAUCAGGUUGUUCAUCGACUAUAGCUCAGUAUUUAUUACCAUCAUUCCCUCAAUCCUGACUGAGCAGUUGCAGAACCUGGCCCUCUGUACCUCCCUCUCCAAUUGGAUCCUUGACUUCCUAACCAGAAGGCCAUAAUCUGUGCAGAUUGGUGAUAACAUAUCCUCCUCACGAUGAUCAACACUGGUGCACCUUGGGUGUGUGCUCAGCCAACUGCUCUACUCUAUAUACACAUGAUUGUGUGGCUAGGCAUAGCACAAAUACCAUCUAUAAAUUGCUGAUGAUACAACCACUGUUGGUAGAAUCUCAAGUGGUGACGAGGGCAUACAGAAGUGAGAUAUGCCAACUAGUGGAGUGGUGCCGCAGCAACAACCUGGCACUCAACAUCAGUAAGAUGAAAGAGCUGAUUGUGGACUUCAGAAAGGGUAAGACAAAGGAACACAUACUAUAGAGGUAUCAGAAGUGGAGAGAGUGAGCAGCUUCAAGUUCUUGGGUGUCAAGAUCUCUAAGGAUCUAACCUGGUCCCAACAUAUCGAUUUUAGUUAUAAAGAAGGCAAGACCAUGACUGUACCUCAUUAGGAGUUUGAGGAGAUUUGAUAUGUCAACAAAUACACUCAAAAACUUGUAUAGUUGUACCGUGGAGAGCAUUCUGACAGGCUGCAUCACUGGUAUGGAGGGGCUACUGCACAGGACCAAAAGAAGCUGCAGAAGGUUGUAAAUCUAGUCAGCUCCAUCCUGGGUACUAGCCUACAAAGUACCCAGGUCAUCUUUGGUGAGCAGUGUCUCAGAAAGGCAGCAUCCAUUAUUAAGGGCCUCCAGCACCCAGGGCAUGCCCUUUUCUCACUGUAGAAAAGGUGAGAAAUCAGGUAGGAGAUACAGAAGCCUGAAGGCACACACUCAGUGAUUCAGGAACAGCUUCUUCCCCUCUGCCAUCCGAUUCCUAAAUGAGGACAUUGAAUCCUUGGACACUACCUCACUUUUUUUUAAGUAUACAGUAUUCCUGUUUUUGCAUGUUUUUUAAUCUAUUCAAUAAAUGUAAUUGAUUUACUUUUUUUAUUGAUUAUUUUUAUUUUAUUUUAUUUCUCUCUACUAGAUUAUGUAUUGCAUUGAACUUCUGCUGCUAAGUUAAUAAAUUUGAUUCUGGUGGGCAGGUAAGGAGAUGAGAUGAGACAGGGAAAAAGGAAUGGGGACUGGUAAGGGAGAGGGGACAGAAUAUUUGUCUUCCAUUUCAGGUCCAAUCCACCUCUUCUGUACAGGACCCACCUUUCCCGGAAAAGAGCCCAAUGAUCCAAAAACCUGACACUGUCCCUCCUACACCGACUCCUUAACCACGGGUUAAAUUGUAAAUCUUCCUGUUUUGGGUGUCACUAGCGCAUGGCAUGGGUAGCAAUCCUGGUGGAAAUGUUCUUGAACUUAGCACCCAAUUCCCUGAGCUCACUGUGCAGAACUUUGUCAUUCAUCCUACCCAUGUUAUUAGCAUCUACAUAAACCAUGACCUGUGGCUGCUCACCCUCCCAUAUAAGAAUGCUGAGGACUUAAUGUACCUGGCACCUGGGAGGGCAUCAUAUCAUCCAGGAAUCUUGUUCUCAUCCACAGAAUCUCCUUUCUGUUGCUCUGACUAAUGAAUGCCCUAUCACCUUCCCUUCUGAAUUACAGAGUCAGACAUGGAGACUUGACCACUGUGAAUUUCCUGCUGUCAUUGCCCCCACCCCCACUGCCUCCAACAGUAGCCUGUUAUUAAAGGAGAUAGCCACAGGUGGACUCCUUAGCCCCUUUUCCCCUUCCUGACUGUCACCCAGUUUUCUGUGUCCUCCACCUUGGGUUAACCUACAUGUCUUCAUGUCCUGUCUAUCACUCCCACAAACUCCAGAAUGAUCCAAAGUCCAUCCAGUUCUGGCUCCAACUCCUUGACGCAGAUUCUUAGAAGUGGCUGGAUUCACUUUCACAGCUGAAGUUACCAGGGACACUGGAAGUCUCCUUGCUUUCCCACAUCCUGCAAAAGGAGCAUUCAACUAUCCUGCCUGGCAUCUCUACUAUUCUCACUGAGCAAAUAUACAGAAGGAAAAACAAAAAAUAAACUGUGGGUGGAGUCUACCUACAGCUGUUGACUUUCUCUUGCUGAACCCUUGAAAACCUAACACUGGUCAAGUUGUGAUUUCUUUUAAUAUGCGGUGAAAUAAAAACUGUUCUUGGAGUCUUUUACUCCCUUCCUAUCUGUGCCUAUGUCUUUCAGUUCUCAUGUUCCACAUAUUCCUUGUAAUGUAGAAAGAGGGUAUUCGGUCCAUUGAGAUUAUUGCAGCUCUUAAAUGGAUGCCACAGUAGUGUAACGGUUAGUGCGAUGAUAUUACAGCUGGGACAUUCUGCAGUUCAGAGUUCAAUUCUGGUGUUGCCUGUUUUCCCAGUGAACCAUGUGGGUUUCCUCCAGGUGUCCAACUUUCCUCCCACAGCUAGAAACACGGAAAUCCUACUGUACAAUACAGGCCCUUCAGACCACAAAGCUAUGCUAAACACAUCCUUAUCUUGGGUUAACCAUAGCCCUCUAUUUCUAAGCUCCUUUUACCUAUCCAGGAGUCUCUUAAAACCCUAUCGUAUCCAUCUCCUCCACCGUCGCCAGCAGCCCAUUCCACGCAAGCACCUUAAACUGUGCCCUCUCAUGCUAGCCAUUUCAGCCCUUAGAAAAAGCCUCUGACUAUCCACACAAUCAAUGCCUUUCAUCAUCUUAUACACCUCUAUCAGGUCACCUCUCAGCCUACAUCGCUCCAGAGAGAAAAGGCUGAGCUCACUCAACCUAUUCUCAUAAGGCAUGCUCCUCAAUCCAGGCAACAUCCUUGUAAAUCUCCUCUGCACCCUUUCUAUGGCUUCCACAUCCUUCCUGCAGUGAGGCAACCAGAACUGAGCACAGUACUCCAUGUGGGGUCUGACCAGGGUCCUACGUAGCUGCAACUUUACCUCUCGGCUCCUAAACUCAAUCCCACGAUUCAUGAAGGCCAAUGCACCAUAUGCUACCUUAACCACAGAGUCAACCUACACAACAGCUUUGAGUGUCCUAUGGACUCGGACCCCAAGAACCCUCUGAUCUUCCACACUGCUAAGAGUCUUACCAUUAAUACUAUAUUCUGCCAUCAUAUUUGACCUACCAAAAUGAACCACCUCACACUUAAUUAGAUUUAACUCCAUCUGCCACUUCUCAGCCCAUUUUUGCAUCCUGUUGAUGUCCCACUGUAACCUCUGAUAGCCCUCCACACUAUCCACAACACCUCCAACCUUUGUGUCAUCAGCAGACUUAAUAACACAUCCCUCCACUUACUCAUCCAGGUCAUUUAUAAAAAUCACAAAGAGUAAGGGUCCCAGAACAGAUCCCUGAGGCACACUACUGGUCACCAACCUCCAUGCAGAAUAUGACCUGUCUACAACCACUCUGCCUUCUGUGGGCAAGCCAAUUCUGGAUCCAUGAAGCAAUGUCCCCUUGGAUCCUAUGCCUCCUUACUUUCUCAGUAAGCCUUUCAUGGGGUACCUUGUCAAAUUCCUUGCUGAAAUCCAUAUACACUACAUCUACUGCUCUACCUACAUGAAUGUGUUUAGUCACAUCCUCAAAAAAUUCAAUUAGGCUCAUAAGGCAUGACCUGCCUUUGACAAAGCCAUGCUGUCUAUUCCUAAUCAUGUUAUGCCUCUCCAAAUGUUCAUAAGUCCAGCCUCCCAGGAUCUUUUCCAUCAUCUUACCAACCAAUGAAGUAAGACUCGUCUAUAAUUUCCUGGGCUAUCUCUACUCCUUUCUUGAAUAAGGGAACAACAUCCACAGCCCUCCAAUCCUCCGGAACCUCUCCCGUCCCCAUUGAUGAUGCAAAGAUUAUCUCUAGAGGCUCAGCAAUCUCCUCUCUUGCCUCCCACAGUAGCCUGGGGUUCCUCUUGUCCAAUCCCGGUGACUUAUCCAACUUGAUGCUUUCCAAAACCUCCUGCACAUCCUCUUUCUUAAUAUCUAUAUGCUCAAGCUUUUCAGUCCACUGUAAGUCAUCCCUACAAUCGCCAAGAUCCUUUUCAGUAAUGAAUAUUGAAGCAAGGUAUUCAUUAAGUACCUCUGCUAUCUCCUCCGGUUCCAUACACACUUUCCCACUGUCACAAUUGACUGGUCCUAUUCUCGCACAUCUUAUCCUCUUGGUCAUCACAUACUUGUAGAAUGCUUUGGGGUUUUCCUUAAUCCUGUUCACCAUGGCCCAGAGUGAAGUGUCUUACCAUUGAUUUGUUCUGUGAUUAGUCCAGUGUUAAAUAGGUGGGUUGCUGUAUGGUGCGGUUUGUUGGAUCAGAAGAGCCUAUUCCAUACUGUAUUUCUAAAUAAAGAAAUAAAUAGUUCUUUUGCAUUAAUCUGCAUAUUUCCCAGUAACCUGUUCUACCUCAUGUCUUUUUAUAAAGCUACUUAAGUCACAGCUAUAAUGCAGUCUGGUUCUGUAUCCAUACUUUGGGAAGAAUUUAAAGGCCCUUGUGCGGGUGCAGAAAAACUUGCCAAGAUUGGUUUUAGAAUGAAUGAGAUUGGUUGCAAGGUUAAAUUGGGGAAACUCAAGUUUUUUCUCUUUGGAGUAAAGGACUUACUUGAUACAUUUUAGGAAUAGUUUCUAUCCCUCUGCCAUCAGAUUCCAUAAACUCUUGAACACCACCUCACUAUUCCUCUUUUGCCAUACUAUUUGUUAUAGCAAUUUGUUUUGCUGCACUGUGCUCCUGUAUACCUUAUGUGAGUGACAAGAACCCUGAUUCUGAGUCUGCUGCUAGAUAAGAUACACAAGACAACUGUUCAUGUUGAUGCAAGAUGAAGGGAUGUAGGUUAAAAAUUUGGUGUAAGGUUGAAAGCUAUGCAGAGAGUAUUCCCAUCUUGACCUUCCUGCCACCCAUCAAUGCUAGAAGUGAUUAGAAUAACCACCAGCACAUCUUUAGGACAUAGAGUGGAAAUCCAGUCACAGGGGAAGUGUACCAAAUCCUCACAGGUCAAGGUCAGGAUUCAACUUGAGUUACUGGAGAUAUGCAGAAUCAGCACUAACUGCUGUGUCAUAUGUUGCAGUAUCCAGCCUUUUCUGACAAUGGACCUUUUUGUGCUUGGGAUAUUUGGUGGUUUGUUGUUUAACAUCUUUCUGUUGACAUUUUGAACAAGGCUACUUUUGGAGUGAAUUUACAUAUACAUGUUGUGGCCAGAAGGGUCUACUCCAGGCUGUAUCUCAAUAAAUAAAGAUGCAAUGCACUGAAUGGCUUCCUGUCUCUCCCCACCUCAGUUCCCUCCACUGCAACCCUUUUAUGUUUUUUUUAAUGGGACUUUUGAAUUAUUUUAAUCUAAGUGAUAUGUAGUUAUAUGUUUAUAGUACUUCAGCCUGGGUGGUGAAAUCUGGGCUUGGAGCAAGUUGCUGGAUGGAGUGGUCUAGGCCCAGACCAUCUUGCUGCAGCUGGGUCCUCCGAUGAGGUACGAUACAUUGCUUAGACACUUUAAACUCCAGCACAGAUCAGAUGUGAGAGCCAAUUUCGCUCACUCUCCACGAUCUUCACUCCUCUCUCCAGGGUGCCAGAUCCUUUCGCUGUUCCAUUGGUCAAUUUAAGUGCUGGCCUAGAUAGACUGAGAAGACACAUUUCAGGAUCUGAGGUCUAGUCAAAGGUGGUGAUGAAUCGGUGUAUAGGAGGGAAAUUGACAACCUAGCUGUAUGGUGCCACAACAACAACCUCUCACACAACGUUAGCAAGAUCAAGGAACUGAUUAUUGACUUCAGGAGGAGCAAACCAAAGAUCCAUGAGCUAAGCUUCAUCAGAGAAUCAGAGGUGGAGAGUAUUGGCAACUUAAAUUCCUCGGUGUUAUCAUUUCAGAGGACCAGUCCAUGCUGGUCCCAGCACAUAGUGCAACUAUGAAGAAAGCAUGACAGCAUCUCUACUUUCUUAGAGGUUUGUAAAUAUUUGGCAUGGUCUAAAACUUUGACAAACUUCUAUAGAUAUGUGGUGGAGAGAAUAUCAACCAGUUGCAUCAUGGCCUGGUAUGGAAACAGUAAUGCCCUUGAAUGCAUAAUCCUAUGAAAAGUAGUGGGUACGGCCAAAUCCAUCAUGGGUAAAGCCCUCCCCACCAUUGAGCACAUCUACACAGAGCAUUGUUGCAGGAAAGCGCAUCUAUCUUCUGAGGCCCCCAUCACCCUGGUCAUGAUCUUCUCACUGCUGCCAUUAGGAAGAAGGUACAGGUGCCUCAGGACUCACACCACCAGGUUCAAUAACAGUUAUUACCUGAUAAACAUCAAGCUUUGGAACAUAACUUCACUCAACUUUGCUUGACCCAUUGCUGAAGAGUUCCCACACCUAUGAACUCACUCACAAGGGCCGAUGAUGUCAUAUUCUCAAUAUUUAUUGCUUAUCUAUUAUUAUGAUGUUUCUUUUCUUUUGUAUUUGCACAGCUUGUUGUCUUUUACACAAUAGUUAUUUGUCCAGCUGAUGCAGAAUUUCAAUGAUUCUAUUAGGGUUAUUAGAUUUAUUGAGUAUGCCUACAAGGAAAUGAAUCUCAGGGUUGUAGGUGCUAACAUCUAUGUACUUUGAACUUCGAGUAUUUUUUUGAUGAAGGAACAAACUGUAUUGUACUUUGUGUAUUAUAGCAUUGCUUUUGUAUUUACUGUGUUCUUUUUGUGCUUAUUGUGUUUUUAUGCUGUGUUGCAUGCAAGUAACAAUUAUUUCUUUCUCCUUCUCCUUUACACAUGUACUGAAGAAUGACAAUGAACUAUUUUGAAUCUUGAAAAAUGUAUUGAUGAGAGUGGUGUGCUUUAAUGUAGUUGGCGUAGAUUUCAGUAAAGCAUUUGACAAUA